rnacentral:lncRNA from 14 species
CUGAUCCUGGUAUAACAACAGAAAUUGGCCUGAAACCGUGACUUUCCAUAAUGCUUACAAUCGUGGUGAAGCCUGCGCAGGGUCCUGGUUAAACCCUUGGGUUUUGAAACAUGGGAGGGCCUUUUCCUUGGUGUCCUUUCCUGCAUCAUCUCAC